rnacentral:rRNA from 1 species
UACAGAGGGUGCAAGCGUUAAUCGGAAUUACUGGGCGUAAAGCGUGCGUAGACGGUUGCGUAAGUCAGAUGUGAAAGCCCCCGGGCUCAACCCUGGGGAACUGCAUUUGUGACUGCAUAGCUAGAGUACGGUAGAGGGGGAUGGAAUUCCGCGUGUAGCAGUGAAAUGCGUAGAGAUGUGGAGGAACACCGAUGGCGAAGGCAGCCCCUGGGUCGACACUGACGCUCAUGCACGAAAGCGUGGGGGAGCAAACAGG